CAACCAUACGCCUGGCUCCCCAGAGCUAUUUUAAUUCUUAAAGCAACACAUUCUAUACACAAGACUACAACAAACAGUGGUAAUUCCCACCAUUCGGCUAGAUUUUGCUUUUUAAAGUGAGAAGCCUGAAGGGCUACUACACAGGGUAUCUGGGAGGACUGGCACAUAUGAACAUCAGAGGUUGACCUUGGGUGUCAUCCUUAAGAAUUAGCCAUCAAUUGUGUUUGCUGAGAUGGAGUCUCUCUUUGGACAAUUAGGCUAGGCUGAUGGCUACCAAUACCCAGCCUAUCUCCACCUCCCCAGUGCUAAUACGGCAAGCAGGCGCUAUCAUACACAGACGGGUGCUAGGGCUUGGACUCACGCCCUCAUGCCUGCAAGCAUGAAGAAUUGUACUCAAGGUCAUUAGGAAGGUUGAGAACCAGUGCUUUAAGACAUCAUACCACAAAUUCAAGAAAGAAGAAGAGUGGAAUGUGAUCAGUCAUCUGUAAUGAAGUCAUCUACAACUGAAGGGCCAAGAAGACAGGACUGCCUGCGCCCAUACUGAAUUUCUAUGUCAUUGGGGGAAAGACUGACACUAUGGGAGGGAGAAGGAGUCAUUAAAUGAUCUGGCACAUGUGA